rnacentral:rRNA from 1 species
UACGUAGGUGACCAGCGUUGUCCGGAUUUACUGGGCGUAAAGAGCGCGCAGGCGGUCGUUCAAGUCGAGUGUGAAAGCCCCCGGCUCAACUGGGGAGGGUCACUCGAUACUGAUCGACUUGAAGGCAGGAGAGGGAAGCGGAAUUCCCGGUGUAGUGGUGAAAGUGCGUAGAUAUCGGGAGGAACACCAGUGGCGAAGGCGGCUUCCUGGCCUGUUCUUGACGCUGAGGCGCGAAAGCUAGGGGAGCAAAACGGGAUUGAG